rnacentral:lncRNA from 1 species
AAGUAAUCACAGACAUUACGGAAGAACUUGUUUAAAGUUGCCAAGAAUUAAUUGUUAUAUUUUUGGUCAACUUCUUUCAUUAUCCACAGAUUGAAGCAGAAUUUGCUCGUCUUACAUCUGUUGACCUGAAGAACGCUUUCUUCAACGGGUUGGAUCAGUAUUUGCCAAGGUUCCUGGAGCUGUUCAAGGCCAAGGAUGGGAAGAUAUUUGCACUGACCAGACAGAUGAAAUGUCUUGAUGAUGAUUCCUCCAUGCAGAGGAAGAGGUCCGUGUUUCUGCUUGGCCUUCCUUAUUUUCUCAAGGAUGAUCCCUCAAGUGCAUUCAAGACUGUUCAGGCCACUGACGAGGAAGCCACAUUCACUCGGGGGAUAAAAGUUGGAGUUGUGAUGGUGAAAGAUGGAGAGGACGUCAUUACCACAUCAGUAGUUCUUGAGGAACACGUCGUCCUGCCUGAUGUGAAGGACAUCCCUCAUGCCAUUGCCCUACUGAUGGGUCUGCUUUUUGCCCUUAAUAUAGACUAUCCAAAGGAACUCAGGUAUACAUUUGAAGUUAUUCAAAAGGUCCUGAUGAACAUUGGUGGAGGACAGUGUUCCUCCUUUGUGCAUGGUUUGAGAAACAGACUCUUGUGUAAAACUAUGUAGAUUCUCCCGACAGGUGUCAUGUCAUGACAUAAGGAUGUCUGACAUUUUUGGAAAGCACUGUAACUUUUCCAGUUCUUAAACAUUGUUUACAUUUUAAAGUACAAGUUUGGCACGGUCUUUGCAACUUUUGAGUUUUGUUUAUUGUUACUUAAUUCCAUCAGAAAAUAUCCCCAUAUAAGUCCAAACCAUUUAGAUGCACAAGUUAAGAAUAUUACAAGAAAGAAGUCAGAAGUUAAGACCAAAUGGUAACUGACAAGAAUAAAAUGUGCACCAGAUAUGUUUUUUUAGAAUUA